CCAGGCAUUUUGUUUGUUAGUCGUUGCCCUAUAAUUCUAUGACCGGUAUUGGAAAUUCUUUACACGAUGCUGCAAACCACUAAAUCAUAUGGCUUCGUUCGGUUUCUCUCGCAUGACUUGCUGGGAAAAGUCAUUCUGCAACUUAUCUCCUUCAUUUUGUAGUUAUUACAUUGAUGGAGGCUUCGAAUUCUUUGUUAUGUCAUGUUGCUCCCAACAGAAUUGAGGCCGAAAUGUAUUUCAAAUUAUUUUGUUACUCUUGAAACCGCCCAGUUGGCAAAAUUUCGAAGCCAUACUCACUCCCC
rnacentral:sRNA from 2 species